UACGGAGGAUGCAAGCGUUAUCCGGAAUUAUUGGGCGUAAAGCGUCCGUAGGUGGCUAAUCAAGUCUGCUGUCAAAGCGUGGAGCUUAACUCCAUACCGGCGGUGGAAACUGAUGAGCUAGAGUGCGAUAGGGGUAGCAGGAAUUCCCAGUGUAGCGGUGGAAUGCGUAGAGAUUGGGAAGAACACCAGCGGCGAAAGCGUGCUACUGGGUCUGCACUGACACUGAGGGACGAAAGCUAGGGGAGCGAAAGGG
rnacentral:rRNA from 1 species